rnacentral:misc_RNA from 1 species
UUUGGACUGCUGGAACGAUCUUCCGGCACUCAAGGACGCGCGCGGAAUUUGAAUUGAACGUCUCAAUUACGCGGAGAGUUAUGUUUCGAGUUCCAAAAACAAUGCCUUCGACUGCUCCUACAACCACUUUGAAACAACCACCAAAGGAAUCUCAUACCUGCAUGUAUUCGUCGUAUGAAUGUUCGCAACCUAUCUUGGAAGGAUACUCAUAUUGCGCAAGACACAUCUUGGAAGAUUCUUCCGCUCCCUUCAAGCCUUGCAGUUUUGUUUAUAAUACAAAUGGAAGGAAAUGUCAGAGUCCUGCACCAAAACUUGAUAGGAGAGACUUGGCAUAUUGCCCAGAACAUACAAGGAAAGCUCAACUAGCUCGGAUCAAGUCAACGUCAAGGCAUUCCUUGCCUCAAACACCAGAAAUGCUUUUAUUAAAUCUAAGCCACUAUGUAAAACCCACGGAUUCAAGUGCCGAAGAUACUGAAGAUGAUGAGAACAAAAUCAGAGCAUUGGAUCCUUUUACUGAGAUCGAUGCAUUCAGAGUCAAUGCAAGUGGUUGCGAUGUAUUGGAUUAUGCAAGCUCUUCAGACAGUGACAUCGAACCUACAGUGGUGAAUGAUACAUUGAGAGGAACAUUUUUAGAUGACAGUGACAACGAAAGUUUGCAUAGUGCUCAAGAUGAUCCAUUGAAUAUUCACUUUUUAAGGCACGCUGGAAUCUUCACUGCUGAAGAGGUAAUAUACAUUGCCCGAGAGAAACUCAUUCGUUUGCAAUCCCUGUAUAUCGACCAAUUUCGAAGGCUACAAUAUCUACUCAAAGAGAAGAGACGAAAGUACCUUCAUGCCCUAAAAAAAGAAAAGGAAACUUUAUGUAGUAUACAUGACCAACCAAAGGAAACAGCAAAAGAAAAAAAACUUUAUGAAAAGCUAAAGGCUUUAAAUAGUUAUCACAGACGGAGCGGAGUCGAAGCAGUGCUUUAUCGAAAAUCGCUAGAAAGACGAGCACAGGCAAGUGAUGGGCCAGCUCAAAAACCACCCAGUGUCCCAAAGUGUAUUUUUACCGAAGGUGGGGUGAAAUGUGGUGAAAGGACUUUACCCUCUGCAAAGCACUGUCGAAAGCAUAUCCUCAAGGAUCAAAAUCAAGUGCUAUUCAAAGCUUGCGGAGCAGUUCAUGCAGACAUUGAAUGCCAUGAACCAGUACCAGUAAUCUUUGACUCUUACUGUGUUUACCACAUGAAUUUACCACCUCCACUGAAACUUGAAACCAUGACAUUUGAAGAACCCAAGCCAGUGGGCCAAGAAACGUCAGUGACCGAUAGUCAAUCAAUGGAGAUCGAUGUCGUUGGCGAAGCACAAGAAAUUGAUCCAGAUGAUGAUAUGGCAGGACUUAUGAGGGAAAUGAACGAUGCUGCAAAGAAACCAGCUCUUAAUGAAAGUGUUAACAGUGAAGCCAGCACCGAUACUGCUUUCAGUUUGUCUGCACAGAUGAGUGACAAGGAUGAGCUGGUGUCAGUGUAAUGUGAAAUAGUGUAAACUUUUUCAAUUUUUAACAGUGAUAUGGAUUUAAUUAAUUUAAGUGUUAAACAAAGGUCACAGUGAUAUUUAAAUAAGAUAAUAUUCAGAUUUUUCAAGUAAGUCUGAAUAAUAUCAACUUCAAUUUGGCAGGGGAUAUGAAAACCAUUUUUUUCUUGUCCGCUGCUAUAAUUAUAGACUUAGACAAAUAACGAAGAGAGACCAAAGAUGGUGCAGGUAAUAUUCUUACAAACUAAACCUAAGCAUUUAAAGUCUGUACUACUGAACUACAUCUCAUAAACAAUAUGUCAGACGUUUUCCUCAAAAUGUAUUUUUUUAGAUCUCAAGUUAUCGAUACUGAACUUAUUAAAUGCAUCACAAUAAUUAUUUACAAGUUGGUGUCUAACUUAGCCGAUUUAAUGACCUACUUCUUAAUAUUAACUUGUCAUUGAGUUUCUAAAUACCGGUUUUACUAUUCUUCCAUCUUUAUUAGAGUCUCAAGGUUUCUUCUCUAUGUGCUAACCAUAUAUUAUAAGCAAAUUUUCAAAUCGCCUAUAUAGCAAAAGUAAUCACAUGGUUAAUGAUAGCUGCAAGUUCAAAAUUCAUAUCCCCGUGCAAUAACUGUUUUGCAUUGUUCAUUGGCCUUGCUGUGGUCCGCUGUGAGGCGCAUCGAUAAAUCACUUGCUAGGCUAUUGAUUGUCUUAAAAAAAGUAAGAACUUGUUACUUGAUGAUGAGGAUAAACGUUCCUUAAACACUGUAUACAUUGUUGUUCCAUAUUAGCCCAAUUGUUUCCAGAGGACCAAUUUUGGUUACACUCUUCACACUUGAAGUAUCUAUAAGUUCUGUUUAUCCCUGAUACGGAGUCUUAAAAUCGCAGAUUACUUUUAUUUUCUUUAAAAAAAACCAUUUCUCUCAUCUUUUUCUUCUUCUUUUCGACCAUUUUGAGACAUUUCAAUCAAACACCGGCAGAACUGAACAAACCAGAACUAGUACCCGCAUUACAAAGAGGUUAGAAUGAUUACCAAAUGAAUUGACUGUCAUAUUUAUAAAGAUGCAAGAAAAUGUAUUUUCAUAUUUCAUUAUUACUAAUGGAAAUCGUUCUUUCAUUUAUUUAAUAGAAUUUGCUCCUUUUAAUAUUUAAUUUUUAACUUCUAAUUUUACAGGUGUCAUAUCAUGCUAGUAUUACGUGAAUGUUUAUCACCACACGUUUUAAACAUAAAACUAUGAAAAUGCAAUUUCAGAGCUUUUAUGAAAUUUGAAACGUAAACACAAACAUGUUUUCACGUAAUACCAAUAUGGUAAAACGCAUGAAUUUUGCGCGCUAUUGUUCAUAUUGAUGUUUUACAUCCGUCAUUUCCGGUCAUUUCCACCAUAUUGGAUUUCAGUUCCUACCACUUCCGAGACAGUAUAUAGAUGGCGAGUCAAUUUGAGGGUCCAACUCUAACACGGCAGUGUCCACCCUUGAUUUGUCAUUUGGGAGUUCCCCGGAAUGGCCGGUACACCAGACAAUUAAAAAAAACCGUUAAUACGUACAUAUGCAGUGGUAAUUCUGGUUUGUUCAGUUCUGCCGGCGUCUUACUAAACAUCUCAAAAUGACCACAAAGAAGGAGAAGAAGGAACAGAAAGUUGCGAAAACAGAAGCUGGGACAGAGAAAAAAAUGAUCAAGGAGACAAAGAAUCUGACUCCAUAUCAGGGAUCAAAAAGAACUUUUGGAAUGUUCAAAUGUGAAAAAUGUAAUCGAACUUGGUCCUCUGGAAAUAGUUGGGCUAAUAUGGGACAACAAUGUAUGCAGUGUUUAAAAAAAAUUUAUCCUCAUCAUCAGGUAAUAAGUUAUAUUUUAAAAACAACCAAUAACCAGUGAUCUAACAAUUAAAUUUUAUGAAAUGCAGUUACUCGUGGCCAAUAAGUGCACAAAAUGAAACAUUUUUUACAAGUAUGUAUACAUGGUAAAAAUUUAUUGUUCCUUUAGUUGAAUCAUGUUCUUGGUUUUACCACCAGGGGAUGUAUUCAGCAUUUCAUUACUUUUAUUCAUUUAGUCGGGGUGGUUCCUAACUAAUUCAUAUGAUCAUAAGUAGCCUUUGAUUAUAUAAGUGUGGAUUGUUAGUCAUUUGUAUGUUAUUAUGCAUUGACAGCUCGAAAAGCAAGAUCAACAUGAACUGUGGUGCAAACUACAUUUGGAAUAAUUUUAUCUCUAACAUUUCCAUUAAAAUUCAGAGCGAUAAGAUAUCCCGAAUAUUAUAUCGAAAAUAAUUUUAUUGAGGAGCUGUGGAAUCUUACUUCUAACUGUUAUUCCACAUAUUCUUAAUUCAAUUAUAUUUUGAAAUUCACUUCAAAGCUUUGCAUUGCACGGAGUGAAAGUUAGUUAUUUAUAAAUAAGGUAUCACUUGAUCUGAUAUGAUCAGUUAAUCCCUUACCUUAAAAAAGAAUGUUUGCAUUUUUCUUUCUAUUUUUACGGUGAUAUUUUGUGCUAUGACAGCUUUUAAUCAAGCAGUAGCGGUCCAUUUCCCUUAAUUAAGCGCAAAUCUAUUUUGUUGAGAAUUUAAAUUAGAACUCCGGGGUAUAGCAAAUAGUUAGUUCCUGGUCCAUGAUGGGGCUGAUAUCCUAGCAACCUGUGUGAAUUUGAAAACUAGCAGUCCAUACUUUUAUAGUCAAAGUAAGUAGUUAUUUACUAGAUGCAUGGAACAUGUUAUGUAGCAAAUAGAGGAUUAUACAUGGUUCUUAUUAUCCAAAGAGUUUAUAAAUGUUUAUAAAUAAAUUGGGAAAUAAUUACAUAUUCAUGUUUAUAGGAUAAAUGAUCAAAUCUUAUCUAAACUUAUUAAAAACAAAUUGCUAUCAUUUGUACUCCUUUUGUGCUUGUUAUGUUUUUUUUCCUUUAAUCCUUUCUAGUUGGAAUAUUCUUAGUAAUUGUAUCAAUAUUACGAAAUGUAGUUUAAUUGAUUUUAAUUUGCCCUAUAUGGAAUUACAAUUGUUUGAAGUAAUACGUGGUGAAUGAAUUGAAUGGACUAAUAGCAUGUUUGUAGUUCUCUUAAUCAAUGGUAAAGGGUAAAUAGCUAAUUACAACUUUUGAUUGACAUUGUCAAAUGCAUGAGCUGUACGAUAUGAUUUACUCUAAAUAGAAUUUUUUUGUAAGUGUUUAUAUAGUUUAUUUCUUAGACUUGAAAUUUUCAGCGUAAACCGAUAAAAAACAAAGCAAAAGUUGAGAUUGGAAAAAGACAUCUUGAAGAGUUUUGUGACAUGUGCAAAAAUUUGGGGCAUUCUUGUGUGAACAUUAAACGAAUCCACAAGGCUGGUAAUGAGAAAUAAAUUUUUGGUGUCAAUUCGUAUGUUACAAUAAACAAAGAUGAGAUUUUUAUAUUAUCACAGAGUAUAUUUUUGUCCAUUUCAAUAUUGCUUAGUUCAUAUAUGUAUGUUAUAACGAAAUAAUUGUAUUUGAGAUAUAAACCAUUU